UACAGAGGUCCCAAGCGUUGUUCGGAUUCAUUGGGCGUAAAGGGUGCGUAGGUGGCAUGGUAAGUCGGGUGUGAAAUCCCGGGGCUCAACCCCGGAACUGCACUCGAUACUGCCGUGCUCGAGUACUGGAGAGGAGACUGGAAUUUACGGUGUAGCGGUGAAAUGCGUAGAUAUCGUAAGGAAGACCAGUGGCGAAGGCGGGUCUCUGGACAGUUCCUGACGCUGAGGCACGAAGGCCAGGGGAGCAAACGGG
rnacentral:rRNA from 1 species